GGUUUCGAUCAUGGCUCUGAUUGAACGCUGGCGGGAUGCUACACGCCGAUCGGGCGUAGCACGGACUUCGGUCUGGUGGCGAGUGGCGAACGGGUAAGGUAAUGUCGGAACGUGCCUGGUAGCGGGGGAUGCGCCCGCGAAAGCGUGGCUAAUACCACCCUUACACCCUUCGGGGAAAGCGGGGACCUUCGGGCCUCGCACUAUUAGAGCGGCCGAUAUCGGAUUAGCUAGUUGGUGGGAGGUAACGGCUCACCAAGGCGACGAUCCGUAGCUGGUUUGAGAGGACGACCAGCCACACUGGGACUGAGACACGGCCCAGACUCCUGCAGGGUAACAGUGAAAUUUUGGACAAUGGGGGAAACCCUGAUCCAGCCAUCCGCGCGUGUGCGAUGAAGGCCUUCAGGUUUGCCAACACUUUGGCGAAAGAGACAGCUGCGGGAUAAUACCCCGUGCAACUGACAGUACCUGCAGAAUGGCAGCACCGGCCUAACUACAUUUAGACAAGUAUACGUAAGUGCAAGCGUUAAUCCGGAAUUACUGGGCGUAAAGCGUGCGGGCGGUUCGGAGAAGAAGAUGUGAAAUCCCAGAGCUUAACUUUGGAACUGCAUUUUAACUACCGAGCUAGAGUGUGUCAGAGAGUGGAAUUCACGUGUAGCAGUGAAAUGCGUAGAUAUGCGGAGAGACACCGAUAGCGAAGGCAACCUCCUGGGAUAACGCUGACGCUCAUGCACGAAAAGCGUGGGGAGCAAACGGGAUUAGAUACCCUGGUAGUCCACGCUAAACGUCAUCAACCAACUGUUGGACAUUCGGGCCUUAGUAGCGCAGCUAACGCGUGAAGUUGUUCUUACCAGAGAUACGGUCGCAAGAUUAAAACUCAAAAAGAUGGCAGGACCCACGCACGGCGGUGGAUGAUGUGGGUCGAAUUAAUUGCAACGCGAAAAACCUUACCUACCCUUGACAUGUCUGGAAUCCGAAGGGGCGGGAGUGCUCGCAAGAGAACCGGAACACAGGUGCCGCCAGCUGUCGUCAACUCGUUGUCGAUGAGAUGUUGGGUUCCAGUCCCGCAACGAGCGCAACCCUUGUCAUUAGUUGCUACGAAAGGACACUCUAAUGAGACUGCCGGUGACAAACCAGAGGAAGGUGGGAUGACGUCAGAAUCCUCAUGGCCCUUAUGGGUAGGGCUUCACCCACGUCAUACAAUGGUCGGGACAGGGUCGCCAACCCGCGAGAGGCCAAUCCCAGGGAAGCUGAUCGUAGUCGGAUCGCAGUCUGCAACUCGGCUGCGUCAGUCAGAAUCACUAGUAAUCGCGGAUCAGCAUGUCGCGGUGAAUACGUUCCCGGGUCUUGUACACCACCGCCGUGCACCAUGGGAGUGGGUUUUACCCCAGAGAUGAUUAGCCCUAGCAGCAGGAGGGCGAUUACCGAAGUGGAUUACGACUGAGAUAGUCGUAACAAGUAA
rnacentral:rRNA from 1 species